UUAUGUAUACCAAAUUACAACAAAUUCUAAGAUGGUCGGGUGCAACCACUGGGUGAAUCCAGAUGGAAUGACCCCAUAUCAAUAUCAGUCCAUCUUUAACAUGAAUUAGGUUGAAAUGUAACACUAAUUUCAUUACAUUUGUGGCCUACAUGUAACUGUGAAACGGGCCAUAUCACUUACAGGUAGAAGAUUCCAUUCGCAGCCCAAAAUACAAUGGUAUGAAAGCAUGGUAACAAUUAAGCAUAGUUUUAGCAGCCUGUGACAAAAUGUGCUUUCAUUAUUGGACCUUUCUCAUUGUACACCCUAAAUUAAGUGCACUUGACACUAAAAAUCUCCAUAUUAAAGUCAUGAAAAUGUAUUCAAUUGAAACCACCAUUGUGAAUUUGGGGCAUUUUUUACCGACCUUUGGAAAUCUUUCUGACUCUCUUUAUUUUCAGUGUAAUUUCAAAUGGUUUCUUGAACUUCCUUUUGUUUCUCCACUGAACUUCCUUUGCUUUUGGCUGGGGGCAUGCCACUGCAGAGAGAGCUAAAUUGCUAUUUUCAAAAUAAAACAGUUGCUUUAUUUUUAAUUUUUUUUUAUUUAGAGGUGAGGCUCGUAUAAAAUUGAAAUUCAGAUUUUAUUUUUCUCCAAAACGAAGAAGCUCACAGCUUAGUUUUUCAAGAGAAUGUCUUUAUCAUAUGACAGGCUAUGAAGGUAAGUUGUGUUUUGGGAUCUUCUAGCUACCUUUAACAUUGUGGUCUACAUUGCUUCCUGUCAGGUUUUGGGAUUUAUUGAUGGUGUGUUUAUAUUCAACAUACUUAAAGUGAACUUUUGUAAUGAAAAGGCUGAUUGGGUGUGUAGGCGAGACAACACUUGGUAUAUUUUGCUGCCUCUAGUGUAUACAUUUUCUUUAUAAAGCCAUAUGUAUUAUUAUGUAUUACAGGUUUUCAAUUAUUCUGUGUUGUGUUAAAACUUGUAGGGACUGUGAUUUUUUGCGGACAGAAAACACAGAAUUGGCCAUUGGAAAUGGAAAAGCCAAUUUCAAAUGGAAAAUCACUUCUUAAAGAAAACCUUCCAAAAAGUUGCUAAAAUGUCACAUUUCAAAUCUUUACAUCCAUGAAAUGGCCAUCUUUUUUCCAUCUUUCCUUGAAAUUGUUUUAAUUUAGUUGAAAAAUGUCAAGAAAAUGAAGGAUAUUCCCUUUUUUCUCGACUCUGAAAGAUUGUUUUCAGUCACACUCAUUCUACACACAUGAAAGGUUUGGUUUCCAACCAAAUCAAAACAAUCUUAUGUUUAAUAUGUUGUCCCACAUUGAGAUUUUCAUGUAUGUACAUGUAGAUUGAGUGUAACAUCAACUGAAAACGAUCUUUCAGAGUUCAGAAAGAAGGGAAUAUCCUUCAUUUUCUUGAUAGUUUCCCACCAAAUCAAAACAAUCUUACGGAAUUAUGGAAAAUUGAUGGCCAUUUCAUUGAUGUAGAGGAGUAAAAUGUGACAUUUCAACAACUUUUUGGAAGGUAAUUUUUUUUCCUACAUAGGGCCAAACGGUGGUCAAUAUAGGAAAACGUUUAGGCCCCCUAUGCUUUCAUUGACUGUUUGAAUUGAACUGCGUUUAAACUUUUUUACUCAGCCCAACAUUAUAGCCAAAUAUUUUUCACAUACACACAUAUGUAAACAGAAUUUGCCAUUUUUGUGUAUAUAAUACAUGUACGGAAAAGACAUAUUUUUUUUAAAACGGAAAAUCACCGUCCCUAAACUUAGAGUCUGUAGUAUGGUUUUAUAGUUCAGUUUUCAGAGUAUUCAAGAUCUCUUUACAUCUUGAUGGUAGUCUGCCUGUUUCUAGUGCAUAUUAUUGGUCUCAUUGGGACUACUUAAAAAAAAAAUUUUACUCAAAACAAGGCAUUGUUUCAUUUAUGUAAUAACAAAGUGUCAAAAGAUCAAUUUUAAGUUGCAUGCUGUGCAUGAUCAGGAGAAGGUUAUUUGAACUCACAUUGCAUUGUGGUUUAAUAUUCAAUGAGAUAAUCACCAACUUUUUAUUAUUCAUGCCUUCUUUCGAAUUGUGCUUUUCAGUAGCUCCACUGGAAAACAAUACAUCCAUAAGCGACUGUUGGCCAAGUACAUUAUCAAUAGCAACAUGCUAAUGCAUUCAAAAUAGAAAUGCAACAAUGUACCUUCAUAAAGAGUUCAUUUGAUAUGCUAUUAAAGUCACCUGGGCCCCCUAUUACAAAGGUGUGCGAUUAAUUGCUGGAUCAUGUUUGCCAAUCAAGAUCUCAAUUGCAUGCACAUUUUGUUCAACAGACUGACCAGUAACCGAUCAGACCUUUUAUUUUAAAUUAGCGAUUCAUCGCAAACCUUUGUACUACGGGGCCCUGGUCUAUACAAUUUCUUUAUCUUGGUAUGCCAGGCGUGUUUACAGCCUUAUCCAAUAUCUUGCUUUCAAAUUUCCUAUCCUAAUGAAAGAAAAGAAAGGUCAUUUGUACAAACUUGCCCACAAGGUGACUCCUAAUUGGUCUAUAUGCAGGCAAUGUUAUUGUAUAUUACUGGGUAAUAUAUGUUAUUUUUAAGUUAAUGUGUAUAAUUUUACAAAUCUUAGUCUUCAGUAUAAUUUUCUAGUAAGAGUUGAAAGUAGAUGUUUCAAGAGAAUACUCAGUUGUGUACACAGGGUUAUUCAGGAUUUUUCAAAGCAGGGUGUUUUUUUUUUUAAUGAUGCCAAAUCCUUCAUCCAAAUUUUCUUUUUCCAGCUAAAAGGGAAGUGUUUUUUUUUUUUUUUUUUAGACUUUCAACAUAAAAGUAAUUAAUGUAUAUGUAUUUUCUGAAUGAAGGGGUAUCUUUGGUGAACAGGGAUGUUUAUAUUUGACACCAAAAUCACCCACCCCCUUUGCAGUACGACUCUGACAUCACAUUUUGCCUUCUAAAAUAUUCACAACUCAAAGAUACACAUAUCACAAGGUGUUAUCUGUUCUGUGCAAUAGCAACAUUGAAAAUAUAUUUGCCUUACAUAAUGAUUGCUCAUUUCUAAAUAUAAGUUCUUGCCUUUUUUAUAUAACUUGAAAUAACACUUAAAGAACCAAACUAUACUGCCACCAGAAAACACCAUUUUUUUCCUGCUAAUUCUGUGCCUUUUUUUAUCAAGCAUUAGCACACUUUGUGUAUGUUUGCAUUCAUUAUAUACAUGAUUUUUGUAGGUACUAUAUUCAAAAAUUUUAUGAGCAGUUUUUUAUAAACAUGUUAUAUCUUUGAGCCAUUACAUAUAUUUCUUUCAGUCGUUUGCAAAUUAAGACAUUAGUAGUAAUUUAGAAAGUAGAUAUACCAUGUUCGUAGUGCAGUUUUGUGAUUUUAUGCUUUAGUUUAUGCUUUAGUUUCAGUAUUCAAAACUCAAGGUAUUCACAGGUGGUCGUUGCAAUGACCAGUGCUACUUCAAGAAUCCUACUUGCCAAUUCUGAGUCUUCAAAUGUAAACAUAUAUGCUGCCACCAAAGAAAUAAAAACUAUUGAGGACUGAU